rnacentral:rRNA from 1 species
GCUGGCGGUGCGUUUUAGCAUGCAAGUCGAACGGUAGGGUAGUGCUUGCACUAUCUGAGAGUGGCGAACGGGUGAGUAACGCGUAGAUAAUCUACCCAUUGGUUGGGGAUAGCUCAUGGAAACAUGGGGUAAUACCGGACAAGAUCCUUUUUCCUUCACGGGAAGCAGGAUGAAAGGGGCUUCGGCCUCGCCGAUGGAUGAGUCUGCGUCUGAUUAGCUAGUUGGUGGGGUAAAGGCUCACCAAGGCGACGAUCAGUAGCCGGCCUGAGAGGGUGAUCGGCCACAUUGGGACUGAGACACGGCCCAGACUCCUACGGGUGGCAGCAGCUAAGAAUCUUCCGCAAUGGGCGAAAGCCUGACGGAGCGACACCGCGUGGGCGAUGAAGGCGGAGACGUUGUAAAGUCCUUUUCUCAUAGAAGAAUAAGCUUUUGAGGUAAUGCGAGAGUGAUGACGUUAUAUGAGGAAUAAGCUCCGGCCAAUUACGUGCCAGCAGCCGCGGUAAUACGUAAGGAGCGAGCGUUGUUCGGAAUUAUUGGGCGUAAAGGGCUCGUAGGCGGUUUGACAAGUCUUUCGUGAAAGACCAGAGCUCAACUCUGGGAACGCGAGGGAAACUGUCAGACUGGAAUCUU